AAUCAAACCCAGCAUUCCCUUUGUGAUAUGGAACCUUGUAGUAAAAUUUCAUAAAGAUCCAUACACUUACACACAAGUUACUGUCAUGAAACUAGAAAAAUGCUUGUUUUUUGCCCCUUUUUGGCCCCUAAUUCCUAAAAUUUGGAGGCAAUUACCCCCAAAAUCAAUCCCAGCAUUCCCUUUGUGAUAUGGAACCUUGUGGUACAAUGUCAGAGAGAUCCAUACACUUACACACAAGUUAUUGUCAUGAAACUAGAAAAAUGCUUGUUUUUUGCCCCUUUUUGGCCCCUUAUUCCUAAAAUUUGGAGGCAAUUACCCCCAAAAUCAAUCCCAGCAUUCCCUUUGUGAUAUGGAACCUUGUGGUACAAUGUCAGAGAGAUCCAUACACUUACACACAAGUUAUGUCUGGAAGUUACAAAAAUGCUUAAUUUUUGGCCCCUAAUUCCUUAACUGUUGGUACCAUAACCCCCAAAAUCAAU